ensembl:snoRNA
AUUCUUUCAUGGUUCAUAAGCAGGCAAUUGGGUGCUUAUGUAUCCAUGUGGCAUGGGCUCCCCCUCAACCUUUACACUACUUUCUCAUAUUACCCAUCUAUCU